AGGAGAUGUACUUGACUAAACUACAUGAAAUGCAUUAAAAAUAUUGCUACUAAACUUGAGAAGGGCAAGUAGGACAAAGAGAAAAGGGAGAGGGUCCUCCUCCCCCUUGUGUUGAUUCAAAGAUGAACUCAAGACCUCGUCUCAUUGCUCACUUUGUUGAGCCUUCUCUGCAAGGGACCUAUUGUUGCUGAUAUUGCUAGAGUGGAGGGGAAUACAACAACUUGGAAAAUGUGCAAGGAAGGCGGAGCUAACUCAUACAUCCAAGAACAAAUUGAUGAA